GACGAACGCUGGCGGCGUGCUUAACACAUGCAAGUCGAACGGUAAGGCCCCUUCGGGGGUCCACGAGUGGCGAACGGGUGAGUAACACGUGAGCAACCUGCCCUUGACUUUGGGAUACCAGCUGGAAACAGCUGCUAAUACCGGAUAUGACCUCUUCUCUCAUGGGUUGAGGUGGAAAGCUCCGGCGGUCAGGGAUGGGCUCGCGGCCUAUCAGCUUGUUGGUGAGGUAAUGGCUCACCAAGGCUUCGACGGGUAGCCGGCCUGAGAGGGCGACCGGCCACACUGGGACUGAGAUACGGCCCAGACUCCUACGGGAGGCAGCAGUGGGGAAUAUUGCACAAUGGGCGCAAGCCUGAUGCAGCAACGCCGCGUGCGGGAUGACGGCCUUCGGGUUGUAAACCGCUUUCAGUAGGGACGAAGCUAACGUGACGGUACCUACAGAAGAAGGACCGGCUAACUACGUG
rnacentral:rRNA from 1 species